rnacentral:lncRNA from 1 species
CUAACCGCCGACUAGAAGCCAGCCCUGGUGGUCUCGUGGUGAAGAUCUUGCGCUCUCACUGCCACGACCUGGGUUCCUGACCCCAUCGGGGCACCACACCACUUGUCUGUCGAUUGUCGUCCUGUGGCGGCUGCAUGUUGCUGUGGUGUGAAAGCUAUGUCACCGGGAUUUCAAGUGCCAGCAGGGUCACCCAUGGUGGACAGGUGUCAGGGAGCUUCCAGACUAAGACAGGACCUGGCCACUCACUUCCGAAAAGAUGGGUCACGUAAACCCUGAGAACAGCAGCGGCACAGGAAGGUGAGAGGGUGGCCCAAAGGACUGGGCAGGGACACAGUGUCACUGGGAGUUGCAGUCCACUCCACGGCGCUAACGUCAAAGGAGACUAGAAGUCAAAGAAGCAAAGAGUGAGCGAGCGGCGGUGGGGGACCGUUAGAGGCGGGCGCCCGCAAUCAGCAGGAUGACGUCUCACAUGCGGCCAGUGAGGAUGCUCCGGAGAACCUGCGCGUUCCCACGUCCCACAGACUUCUGAGCACCUCCGUGUGCCAGCCUCUGUUCUGGGCCCCCAGGGGCUGUCGGCAAACAAUCAGUCGAGGUCUCUGUCCUCAGGAAGCUUGCAUUCCAGCAGGUUUCUCGUUGAACAGCAAACCCGUGGGUGUGUUUGGGAGGUUGGCACACGCCUCGUGGAUUGUGGUAGCUACAGCUCACUCAUGGCAGUGACGGCGAGGAUAACUGAGAGCCAUUCUGGGCCCACCGUGGGCCAGGCGCCGCCCCUGCCUUCUGCACGGCAGCUUCUUCGGCCCUCAUUGAAACCCUCGGGUUCUCUUUUCUCCUGAACCGGUCACUAUGGCUAAGCAGCGUGGCAUGCUCUGAUGGUGAAUCAGCCCGCUGUCUGGGACAGCCCGCCGUGCCCUCCCCUCCCUGCCACACCUGCACCUCCUUGGGUCUGAAACAAAUGUCAUCGGUCCCCUCAGAGCCAUGUUGAUGGAGCAGAUACUGGGCUGGGACGGCUGUACCAGGCGUGCUGUGCAGAGGAGUGGGAGACACAGAGUCAGAGGAUUAAGGAUCGCCCACAAUGCAACUUUCGAUGCCUCUGCCGUAAUCGCUUCGGACGGUCUGCACGUGACGUGGGUGAGCUCGAGGAUCGGCUUUCCAUCUCGUUGCUUCAGACGGUGCUUUCACUUUUUUGCAGUUCAGCUCUGGCAACAUUCGAGUCAAGUGUCAGGCAGCACGUUGGAAACAUCUGGCCAUUCUACAAGAAGACUCCCUCCCCCGCCCCCAGCUUACCUUUGGAGGACAGAGUUUGUGUCCUUUCCUGGGGGCAGAUUUUUAAGUUCGUGGAGAUAACAUUUCAUUUCUUGGGAACUAUCUAACUCAAAUAUAAAUGUGAUUUUAAGCAGCAGCACCCUGUCUUCAGAUAAAAUCUUGUACAGAAGCUCAUUUCAUAAAUUGAGUGAGUAUGAAACUGCUGCUCUGCUGGAAAUGGUGGAUUUAAAAUAAAUG